UUUUUUUUUUUUUUUGUAAUAAACUAGCAUUAAGAGCAUUCAAUUACUAAUACCAAUAUUCUCCAUAGCCGAACUUCAUAAGUGCUGAAUCCACUAUCAAUAUCCAAAUAGAUGGUAAAUGUAGGGAUGACAAUUUAUCCACGGGUAAUGGAUAUUCGCGAAAACUCGAAUUUAUUAAGGUGGAUUUGAAAGACAUUUGAUAUUCACGGAUAGUUUCGUGAUUGCAAUUCAUUAUCCAUUUAGUUCGUGGGCAUGGAUUUGAAUACUUACUAUCCAUACCCGCGAAACCCGUUUACCCGCAAAAAUACCCGUCAAUUACCCGUGAAAUACCCGUCAAUUACCCGUUAAAUUUGUACUAAAUUUAUAAUUAAAUUUUAUUUUGUAGAUAUCCAAUGGAUAGUGGGUGGCGGUUAUCCGACGGAUAGUGAGUGACGAGUAUCCGACGGAUAGUGGGUGAAGGGUAUUCGACAGAUAGCGGGUGGCGGAUACCCGACGAGUAGGGCUGUCAAAAUGGGCCGAAAAUGGCCCGGCCUGAUGGGCCCGCCCGGCCCGCCCGUAGUUUUGGCCGGGCUAGGCUAAGAUUUUCAAGGCCAAAAAAAAAUCGGGCCUCCCUGGCCCGGCCCAUGCGGCCCGCCGGGUCACCCGGCCCGAAGUCCGCCGGGCUUUCGGGCCUAAAUCGGCCCGUCAAUAUAGAAGGUGAAAAUUUCGAAAAUUUAUAUCUCCUCCCAAAUUCCAAUGGACCCAACCCAAUCUAAGUCCAUUUCUUCAAUUGACGACAAUGACGAGUCGAAGUCUAACUUAGGAUUUAAAUUAGCAAUCAACAAUCAAUAUUAAAUUAUUUUUAGGGUUAAAUGCAUGUAAUAUCAUGAACUUAGGCCGAAUUCCAAAUUUUGCACGACUUUAAAAAGUUUCAAUUUAUAUGGGUACCUUUACUCCGUGUUCAAUUUUAGCACCGAUUUAUUUUCCGGCAGAACCACGUGGCAAUGACGUGUCUUCCGGCAGACACAUCAUAAUUUUAUACUCAAAAAGAGAGAGAGAGAGAGAGAGAGAGAGAAAGGCUGAAAUCAGCGGAAGGUAGUGGCGGGUUCGCUGUUGUUGUUCAACCGAAAAUGAAGAGAGUCCGGGCAGAGGCAGUGCCGUGUGUGGCGGCGUUGCGACCAGAAAUUAUGGAAUUGGGGGUAGGGUUUGCAGAGCAGAGGGUGGUGGCGUCGUGACCUGAAAUUCUGGAAUUGGGGGAAAGGUUUGCAGAGCAGAGGGUGGGGGGUGUCGCGACCAGAAAUUUUGGAAUUGGGGGUAGGGUUUGCAGAGCAGAGGGCGGCGAUGGUGUUCAGUGAGGAAUAAGAGAAGUCGCCGGAAUCGUGUCUGUGAGCAGAGGGCGGCGGCGCUCAUCGCCGUUGAAAGAGGAGGAGGUGAGAGGCGUAGGCGGUGGAGAAGGCGGCACGGUGGAGAAGGCGGGGCGGUGGAAGAUGUGGGGGUCGAGGCGGUGGAAGAGAGAGAGGUGGAGAGAGAGAGAGAGCUUGGCUUGCCGGCGGGAAGCUUGUGCCGGCAAGCCACGUCAAUGACACGUAGGAUCGAAGCGUGUGUCGGCAAGCCACGUCAAAAAACUGUGCUAAAAUUGAACACGGAGCAAAGGUAGCCAUAUUAAUUGAAACUUUUUAAAGCCGUGCUAAAUUUAGAAUUCGGCCUAAGUUCAUGAUAUUACAUGCAUUUAACCCUUAUUUUUACUUGAAAGAUUUAUUUAUUUUUGGUGGUUGUUAUUUGAUUCCAGUUGAUUUGAUUACUGUAUUAAUUAAUUUGUGAAUAACUCGUUUUCAGUUUUUGUUGUUUUUGCAAUUAGUUUUUAUUUUUUACUUGUAUUCAUAUUGUUUACAUUUAGUUUUAGUCAUAUUUGUUUACAUUUAAUUUUAGUUAAUUACGUAAUUUAGAUGUAGAUUGUUUAAGGCCCUUUUUGUUUCAUCGAAUUUGUCUUCAAUUUUUUUCUUUAAAUUUGAUUUAAUUUAUUAAUUUUUGGAAUAUAUAUAUAUAGAUAUAUAUAUAUAUAUAUUAAUUUAUCAAUUUUUGGCCCCGUUUUGGCCUGACCCGCCCGACGGCCCAUAUAGGGUCGGGCUGGGCUUCAAUGUUCAAGGCCCGCUGAAAUUUUGGGCCGGCCCGAUCCGGCCCAAAAAAUUGCCUAGGCCCGCUGGGUUGGGCCGGGCCGGCCCGGGCCGCAAGGUUUGACAGCCCUACCGACGAGUAGCGGGUAUCCGUGGGUGACGGGUUUGGAUACCAUUUGAUAUUUAUGGAUAGUUUCGUGGUUAAAAAUCACUAUCCAUUUAGUUCGUGGGUAUGAAUAUGAAUAGUCACUAUCCGUACCCGUCGUACCCCAUUGUCAUCCCUAGGUAAAUGUAGCAUUUCGGAAUUUACCAUAUAUAGAAAAAUCGGACGAGUGAGGAAAAUUGAAUUUAAUAAAAAUUACUCGCAAAGUAAAUGAGUUUUCAUAUUUAUCUAACGCGGGAAAGAAAUUUAAAAUGGGUAAAUUAAUUUUUUUACAUCUCGCAACAGAAGAGAAAUUAUUAGGGUGACGGCAGUGUGCAAUUAAGUUCUAACGAGAAUUUGUCUAGAGUGAAGGUACAAUUCAAUUUUGACAGUUCAUAUAAUUAAAUGCCGUAUCUACAUUAUAUAUUAUUGGAAAAAGGAGUUUCCUGCCAUCCUAUUGGGGUUAUGUAUGAGUAUGAUGAUAAUCGCUUAUUUGUGUGUGUGUAUAUAUAUGAAUGGGAUCCAAAAUAAUUCUCUCCGCAACAAUUCAGAAAUCUAUGCUUUUUUUUAUACAUGUGGUUUCCUGUGAAACCGGUUUUAUGGUGAAAUCGGCUUCACAAUGACACUAUAAAGUGUCAUUUAUAUGUUGAAGUAGUGUCAUUGUGAAGUCGGUUUCACUAUGAAAUUGGUUUCACAUGAUUUUUUGUGUUUUUUAUAUACUCUCUUCGUCCAUGGCAUAUCUUUCUCGCUUAAAUAGACAUAAAUUUUUAAAAAAGUUUAUAUCUAGUGAUUUAGAGAAGGGAUAUCCCACAAAUUAAAAAAAGUAAUAGUUGAUUUAUAUGAGUUCAUUAAGGACAAUAUGUUGUUUAGCUUCGUUGUUUGUUUCGAUUUUCUCCGUUAUGUCCCAUGGCCUUGUUGUUUGUUUGAGCUUAUGGGUUUGUUAGAUUUUUUUUUAUUUCGUCUUCUCGUUCUCUUGAUUUUUAUCAUUUUCAUAUAAUAGAUGAACACUCUUUUUCUUUGAUCGGAGUUUUUCUUAAUAGAUUUUUUUCGGCAAAGUUUUGAUGAGACUUGACCCUUAGUCUGCGUCUUUGUGUAGUCAAGAGUUAUCAGAUUCUUUUUUUUUUCUUUUUUCAAUAAAAUUUUAAAUCUAAUAAUUAACGAAAAUAUUUUGAAAUUUUAAGAGUGAUUUUAAGUGAAAUUAUGUCCAAAAAAUAAACAAAAUAAAAUAUUUUAUGGACGAACGGAAAUGAAAAUUAUAAAGAUAUUUCGUAGACAAAGGGAAUAUGUAAUAAUGAGAUUUUCAUAAUAAUGUUGUUCUUUUAUAAUAAACAUAAAUUAUAAAAUAAAUAAAUAAUAGUAAGUCCAGAUUGAAAUCUAUUUUCUAAAUGGAGUCUUCUGUAAAUUAAUCGUCUUACCGCAAGCUAGGUCAAAAUCUAGACUCAUAUCCAUAAUUAAUGACAUAAUUGCAUAAUUAUAUCACUAAGUAUCAAGUUGAAUUCGAAUCUAAAUCUUGAUCCGCUCAUCUUGUGAAGAGACGAUCUCACAUAUUUUUUUUAUAAUUUUGCUGUGGUGUGUAUAAUACACUCAACAAUCCAACAUAUUUAACUCAGUAUUGCAUCAUUUCAUAUAUUAAAGCUUAACAUAUCAAACUAAUACAAUUCACAAAAGCUUUUGUUGAAUUUCUUGAUUCGAAUUUGGCGUGGGUUUGUUUCAACAAAAUGAAAUUAUUAUUUAUGCUAUAAAAGGAAUUUCAACAUAGUAGUUGUAUGAUUAAAAUACAUAUAUAUGCACAUGCACUAUAUAUAGAUCCACCAACAUGUCCCAGCUUAUCAUAAUUGCAAUAUUCACCAAAAUAAAAAUAAAAAAUGACAUGAAACCAUAUGUGUUAGUAAAUGAUAUUCCCAUUUAAUGCGUUUCCGGAUACUAAGUUGGUCUUGGACCGAUAGGUGAGGGGGCCCAAUUGUGGAUUUCAUUGAUCCACAUUUUGAGAUUGAGCUGACAUGGACCAGCUUCAUUUACUCCUUUCUUUCUGUAUCAUAUAUUUUGUAAAUAUGCGGUUUUAUUUUAUUUUAUCUUUGUAGCUGUAAAUAUGCCAUUCUUAUUCUUUUUAUUAUUUUUAUUACUAUAUAAAAUUUUCAAAGUAAAUCAAAGUAAUAUGUUUGUAUAUAUAUAGGGUUGAGUUCUAUUAAUAGUAUGUACUAAAUUUGGACCACACAUUUUAUACAUGUGACGCGUUAAGAACACGACACGUGAUAGAGGGCCUCCAAUGCUUUCUAAACCAAAAUACACGUAGGGGUAAAAUAGGAAUAAAAGUUUCGAAUAUUAAAAAAUAAAAAUAUAAAAAAAUAUUUUCAUUUUUUUUAAUUUGAAAUUUAUUUAGUACAUAUAAUUAAACACAAUAUAUAAACACAAACAUGCAUAACUUUGCACACAAAAAUGUAUUGCAUUGUGGCAACAUCAUGCAUAUUUUUGUGUGCAAAGUUAUGCAUAUUUGUGUUUUAUAUAUAUGCAUUUUUGCGCUUAUAUAUAUGCACUUGUUUUCAAUUAUAUGCAUCAUUCAGACAUGGGCGAUAAGGGAGAGGUACCUGACCGGUCGCACAAAAAUGCAAUGCAUUUUUGUGUGAAAUUAUAUGCAUUGAAUAAAUUUUGGAUAUUUAAAAAAAUAAAAAUAAAAACUAGUAUUAAUUUUUUAAAAUAUUCAAAAAAUUUAUUCUCAUUUUACCUUUACGUGUAUUUUAUCUUGGUUGACCUCUGCCACAUGACGCGUUCUUGGUGAGCCACAUGAACAAAAUAUGUGAAUUUUGUACUAUAUACUACCUCAGGCUUGGGUACUACAUUAUUUCUUUCCUGUAUAGAGAGUGGUUAUGUUGUAAACCACUCUUGUAGUAUAAUCUGAAACAAAUUUACAUCAUUGAUAUAUCCAUAAUUUAACGGUUCAGAUUUUAUCUUUAGGUAAUCGAUAUGUAAAUGUCUGAAUUUUAUGUAGAAUGCAUUUGAAUUCACUGUGUAAAUAUCUGAAUUUCGAAAAUUAAUAAUUUUCGCUUUUCUAUGACAUGUGAACUUAGUACUUUAAAUUUAUCCAAUAAAGUGAUAAACUAAAACUCCAUUCGUUCCGCGAAACAUGAGUCGUUUCUUUUGGAUACGAGAUUAAUGUGUUAAGUGUGGUAGGUGAAAAAGUGAAAAGUUGAAUAAAGAAAAAAACUUUUGUCAUAUAAGAAAACGUAAUAAAUUUCAUGGGACGACCUAAAAAUGAAUACGACUCAUAUUUAUUGGACCGGAGAAAGUAAUAAAUUCUAAUGAUCUAAGGAAUGAAAAAAUAAUUCAUAUUUAUGUUUUAAAAGGAGCUUUUAGGACGAGCUAACUUAAAAGUAUAAAUUCUAAAUUUAGAUUUUUUUUACGCCUUUGAAGUUUGAAAACGAAUAUUUACAAAAAAGGUUGCAGAAUUAUGGUAAAAACAUCGGGGGUGUGGUAUCUAUUAAUUACUCCGCUUGUCCCAAUAAAAAUGGCCACCUUUCCAUUUUUGUUUGUCCCACUAAAAAUGGUCAUUUUCUCAAAAUGAAAAUAUUUAUUAGUUGAUUAAGUCAAAUUAGUUAAUUUAAUUAAAAGUUCUAAUUAGAACCUAUUCUGUUUGGGGGCAAGACAGAGUGAGAGAGCGAGAGGGGGGGAGGAGGGUGACGAAUUCAGAAAGGGAGAGAGGGGUGAGCAGAGGUGGCGGCGGCGCCGCGGCUCGCAGCGGCUGCCGCGAAUAGAACAGAGAGAGGGAAUAGAUCGAGCAAAGGAGAGAGAGGGAGAACAUAGAGGAUAGAGAGGGAGAUCCUGAGACAGAGGGCGACGGCGCCUGAGGCAGGGGAGGAAGAGAGACGGUAGAGCGCAGAGAGAGAGAGAACGCAAAAACAGAAGGGGAUCUUGAUUUGGAGGAGAGAAAAAAAAAGGGGAGAAGAAGAGACGCUGGCCUCGCGGUGCCGGAGGCAGCGGGAACCGGCACCGUUCGCCGAAGAAGGGGAGAGAGAGACGGUAGAGAGCAGAGAAAGAGAUAACGCAGACACAGAAGGGGGAGGAGAGAGACGGCAGAGAGCAGGGAAGUUGUUUUAAUUAAUUCAUUAAUUUUGGUGGAACACAUCUAAUUAGAUUAUAACAAUCUCAUUCUUAAUCUCCGUGUUCAAAAUAAAGUGGCCGCUUUUAAUGGGAUGAAGGAAGUAUUAAUUUUUUUUAAUCAUGGUUAACUAAUCCAAAUUGAUAUUUAUUAAUAUUCAAUUAGAAUUUAAUGAUUAAAUCAAUUAAACUUCAUUAAUAAAUAUAUCUAACUAAAUAAUUAAAAUUAAUUAAAUAAAUGAAUAAUUAAAGGAAUGGGUCCCAACCGCACUACUGAAUUAAUUGUCCAAGAUCAAUCUUGAACACUUGCUUCACGAAACAUAAAAGGAAAGUAAAUGAUGGAAAAAUACGUAUAUCAAAAUCAAUAAAUCUAGGCGGGCACAUGUCCAUAUACAAACUAGUAUAAUAAGGAAAUAUUGAUUUAUUUAAUUUAUUUUUUUUAAAUAAAAAUAGAAUUUAGUUAUUUUAUUAUUUCUCUAUAUUGUACUUAUUUUUUUAAAUUUUUUUUGUAUUUUUUAUUUUUAAUUUAUUUUGUAAUAAAAUAAAAAAUUACAAAAAAUUGCAAAAAAUUAACUUCAAUGUAGAGAAUAUGAUAAAAUAACUAAAUCUUAUUUUUAUUUUAAAAAAUAAAUUAAAUAACUUAAAUUAUUUUCUAUUUAGAUAAAUUGUGGGUGGCCACAAUGUGGCUGUUUAGCAUUACUCUAUCAAAAUAAAGAAAGAAAAAGGAAGGGCUCACUAUAAUUUAUUUUAGUUAAUGAGGCCUAACUCAAGUGAUAAAAUUGAGGCAUCUAAAGACUUUAGUUUGUGAGAAAUUUUGGGUUUAGUCCCACUUUCAUAUGGAUAGUUUUUUUUACCUUUGUGUGGUAUAGUGGUCUCGUCUACGUGCGAGUAGUUUUUUUACUUUUAUGUCAUGUAGAGGUCCCGUGUGCGUGUAGCUUAUUUGAUUAUAAUUAAAUACCUCUUGUAAUUUUAAUUAAAAGAAAAAAAAAGUACUCCAUUUGUCUCACAAAAAUAUGAAGAAAAAAAAGUACUUCUAUCAUCUCAUAAAAACAAGAGCAAUUAAGAGUGACACGAGUCUUAAGAAAUAUUAGUUGAUAGUUAUUGUGAUUGAGAAAUGGGUCUCACUUUAUAAAGUGUUGGGAGAUUAAUGAUUCUAAUUAAAAAAAUAAAAAAAUACUCCCUCCGUCUCAUAAAAACAUGAACAAUUAAGAGUUACAUGGGUCUUAAGAAAUAUUAGUUGAGAGUUAUUAUGGGUGAAAAAUGAGUCUCACUUUAUAAAGUAUUGAGAGAGUAAUGAGUUAAUUGAGAAAAAGUAGUAGUGGUCUGGUGGGUCAUGAUGAAUUUUCUAUGAAUAAGUAUGAAAAGCAGGAAUAAAAAUAAGAGAAUAAUGUGCAAAAAUAGAAAUGUUUAUAUUUUUGUAAAACACUUCAAAAUGAUAAAUUGUUCAUGUUUUUGUGAGACAUAACGAGUAUAAUUUUUUUAUAUACUAUUAUUAUAAAGAUAACAUUCACCAAAUCAAAUAUUGACCUUUAAGUUUGGAUAUCUUAAUUUAGCGGUACAAUCAUUAAUGCUUAAAUUAAAAAAAAAUUAAAAGUUUGAAUUCCUUGUUAUACGAUAUUUAAAUUUAAUUGCUAAUUUAUUUCCUCCAAAAAAGUAUUCACAUUUUAUUUUAUAAUUUCGACUUCAUUGCCAGGGCCCAGGGUGAAUUAUUUGAAGCUUUAACCCCCAAUUGUCUGGUUGGUGCUUACAUGUUUCUCUUUGGAAAGCACUAGCGUGAUUUUAAAAAAUAGAUACUAUAUCAUAAAAGAAAAUUCUUAUUUGUAUGAAAUAAAAACAAAUUAUAUCUAUUUUCUGUAAGAAUGUGUAAAAUUUACAAAAGUAAUUUGAUUGUUUUGUCCUCAAUGAAAUCCUAACUAAAACUUAAAACUAAAAAAUUACUAUAAUUUUAAAUGCACGCAAUCACACAAUUUAUGUGCUGGAGCUCAAAUCGACUUAAUAUUUUGAUUUGCGAGAGCUCAUUCAUCCGAAUUUGCUCAAUCUGGAAGGAGUUUGUAUGCUAAUUGAAGGUAACGCUAAACAUAUUUAAAUCUCAUGAAAGCCGAAAUAAUCCAUCAAGAAAACUGCAGAAAGCUCAUUAUUUAUAAGAGAUGAAUGUGACUAAUAAUGAUAAUCAAGAAUAUUAGCAUAGGUCAAAAUCCCCAAGAUGGCCUCACCACGUGUAAAUUCGGCACCCAAUCAUAUAAAUACAUGCUUUUUGCCAAGAAAAAAAAAAAAAUUUAGAGUUUCUCUGUAAGAAUAAACCAGCCAAUCGGAUCUGAGCAGGAGUGGGCGAUUCCAUUCUCGUAAUUAAACUCCAAACGCAGUGGCAAAUGGCAAUUUAGCCACACCAGAAUCCCCUAAACCUUAAAAAGUUAAAAAAUAAAGAAAUACUAAAAGGAAUCCUCAAACCCUACCCACAGUGUCAGCUCGUGGGGCCCGCCCCCCGCGAUAUAACAUGACCAUUAGCCAAUGAAAAAAGCUACUUAAAAUGGCUAAUUAAGAUCAUAGAAUAAUGGCUAAUUAAAUAUACUAAUCUCAAGAUUGACAACUAGCUUCGAAAGAUGGCAACUUGGUUGUGUUUGUUAAAGGGGCCAAAUGCAUCAUACGUAUUUCCUAAUUAAUGAAUUAAUCCCGUUUAUUAUUGUAUACAUAAAAUAAUAUUCAUUCUCUUUAAUUUAAUACUUUAAUGUCAAACAUAUAAUGAUAUUAUAUUUAUGACACUCUAAUAUCUUAUUUACUUCAAAAUAUAACUAAAUCAAAAGAGCUCGACAAACCCACGUAGAAUAUAAAGUAAAGUGAUAUUUUAUAUACGGAUACAUGAUACAAAACACUCUCUUUUUAUAUAUCACAUGUUUCAUAAUUACAUAAUCAUAUAAAAAUUAUUUCCUCCAAUCCUACUAUUUUGAAACCUUUUUUUUAGGCACGGGAAUUAAGAAAAUAGUGUAAGUGAAAAAGUGAAAAGAUAAAUAAAAAAUCUAAUUUUUACCAAACAAAAAGAUGUCUCAAAAUAGGUGGAACGCCCAAAAUAGAAAGUGUCUCAAAAUAGAUGGAACAAGGGAGUAAUAAAUUAAAUUAUCACAAUUUCACUUUAUUGGCAUGAUUUAUAUAUAUUACAUAUAUUUAAUUAAAUAGAAUAUUGAUACCUUAGUAUUAGAAUUAUCAUAAUUUUACGUGCAGGUGUAGCAAACGGAGCUCUUUAUUUGGUAAAUUGAAUUUACCAAUUGUGAUAUUAAGAUGAUUCGAAGUUGGUAAAUUGAAUUUAGUAAUUUGUUAAGGAGAUUCGAAGUUAGUAAUCGGUGUGUAUGUAGAUUUAUAGAGUGUGUUGAUGAAUGAGUAUAAGCUAAAUUAAUAUAGGUGGGCAGUUUAUAUAUAAGGACGUUAAAUUUUCAUUAAUAUCUGUACGAAAAGCAAGGUAGGGAAGGUGGAGAUAAUCUAGAAAUGCCCAUUUCUUUUCAUUUUCCUCAAAACCCCAGAAAUUCUUUAAUAACUGUAUAGCUGAAACAAAUCAUGAGAGGGACAGAGGCGGAGAUUUGUGUGUGUCUGAGCGAGUGAGUUUUUUUAGAGAGAGAGAGAGAGAGAAGGCGAGGAAAAAGCAGAGAAUAAAAAGAGACCGGAUGUUGACAAAUUUCGUGUCACUGUUCUUAGAAGGUCGUUUGUUAGUGUGAAGAUUUCUUAUCUGGGAUCUCUCUCUUUCUCUCUCACUUUCUUCAAAAUAAAAUACUUUGUUUAUAUCAACAGUAAAUACAUACAGUUGCGGGGAGAAAUCCUUUGUUUUUUUGUUUUCUUAAACUCCCCUUCUCUCUCUAAAAGUGCUGCCUUUUCUCUUCGUAGAUAGAGAGGGAGAGGGAGAGGGAGUGCCCAGUAGAUCGAAAUCUCCAAUCCUUAGUUGAGUUUGAUGAGGAUCUGGCUUCUUCAAUACACACUCAAUUAAUUCCUGCCUUGUUUCAUUUGCCAAUUAUUAGUAUUACCUUUUUUUCCCUUCAAUUUGGGUUAGUGGAAUACUGUGAAAAGAGCCUCAGAAUUCACAUGAUUCCGACCCUUAUUCACCUGGAGAUACUGUCGGAUGAUUCAAUCCAUGAGGGAUUCUUGAGAGCAGGCUGUUUCAAGAUGUGGGUCUGAGGUAAUUAACCUUUUUCUAUUUACUUGUGAUUUUUUAAGAUUUACUUGGUUUUGACUAUGACCCAGAAGAAAAUAGCUUUUUCGUCUUCCUUUGAAUUCUACCUAAUAAUUAGUCGUUUGAUUAAUUGAGCCAUAAUUAUAUUCCAAAUAUAUGCGUUUUCAGUUUCACAAAUUUAUUGGUGCCAUUGGUUGGGAAUCGGGGUGAUUGGAUUUAAGCAUUUUUCUCGCUGGUUCGUAUAUUUCCUCAUAUUUGGGGACUAUUUCAGUUUGAUGUGUGAUCAUCGAUAGCGAUGUAAGAUUUGCUUUCCAAAUAACAUUUUCUUAAUGUUCCAUGUUUUGAUAUAAAUUUAGGGCAAGUCCUCUCAUAGCUGCUGUAGAUGUUAAUAGGAUUUGUUGCAAUUCAAGAUUCUUUAACCGGAGUGUGCUACAUUUAUGCACUUUAUUAUGUUAAGAAAACCUAUACACAAUGAUGGCUUAAAUCUGCAUUUAUAGCCAAACAAUAGAGUAAAUUAUCUUGCUCAUAAUCUUUCUUCUCCUAGGUCAAAUUUGGUGAGUUUAGGAAAGGUUGUCUCUAUCAUGUCAAAUAUCGAGAGUUGAGUUUGAGUUUUGACUGCAAAUGACGCUUGCAAGUCUCAUUAAGUUGGCGAUUCUUUGUUGUUCUAGUUUGUUUGUGCUUUAUGUGUUCCUGAUCACUAGCACAGUCUUCUUUGAGUUUUCCUGAAAUCCUUGCCCCCCAAUCUUUGCUAGUGUGCUGCAUUAUUCUGAAAGAAAAAUUAACUUAGCACCGGAAGUUUAGGCAAGCUUGUGAUGCACUUUGAUGGAAGUUCUUUCUGGAUGUUAUAUUUAACCGAAUUGGUCCAACGACAACUUUGUUGUGCAUUGUGCCAUUUGUAGAAUACAUGCUUUAUAAUGUUUUUGUUUUCAGUACCGGUCCCAGCUUCUAGCCCUAGAAAAUUGGUGCAUGAAUUCCGACUUUCCAAUUAGUAAUUUAUCUAGAAUUCUACAUUUACUUGCCCUUAUUGGUGAACCCUGGAGUUGCUGCUGCCUAAUUUAAACAAAAGGAGAAUGUGGAGAGAGAAUUUAUAGCAUUGUAGGUUCUGCUUCGACUUACCUAAUACUGAUUUAUAUAUCUUCUCUAGGAAUGGGAACAAAAGUAGAUAGCAAGAGCUAUUUUCCGGGAUAUUACUCCAUGAGAGAUCUUAAUGAGGAUUCUAGCAGUAGUAGCUGGCCCCUUUGUUACGGAGAUAAGGCUAUCUCGAACGGGCAAUAUUACAAUGGCUUCAUGCCUAGGACAGCAAUGGAUGGUUAUCCUGGGUAUGGCAAGGAUGCAUUGAAGCAGAAAAUGCUUGAACACGAAGCUGUUUUUAAGAAUCAGGUGCUUUGAUUUCAUUUUCAGUGACCCUAAUUUUAAGAUGCGCAUUUUCCUUUGAUUUAUUUAUAAGUUGUUAAUUUAAAUCUGGUGAGCAUCAUCUCUUGUAUAAAUUCAGUUUAUGUAUCAGCAUCCUGAUCUCUUGAUCUUUUACCUUAUGACAUCAAGGUUUAUGAACUCCACCGUCUUUACCGGAUCCAAAGAGAUAUGAUGGAAGAAUACAGAAGGAAAGAACUUCAUAGAAUCCGACCAUCAAUAGAACCAUCGUCAUCAUCAAGUCUCAGAGGGCCUCAAGUGCCCUCAGAAGAAGCUCGGAAAUGGCACAUGACGGGCUUUCCUAUGUUAAAUUCUACUUAUGAAAGAACAUCUAUCUCUGGGAUUGAAAUUGCUAAUUCUCCUAUGAGUUGUACCAAAGGGAACACCAACUUGCAACCUGGUCAGUUCCCAUUCCAGAAUGGGUCUUCUUCUGUAAAAGACUCCGAACUGUUAGACUCAAGACCGUUGAAGGUGAGGAAGAAGUUGUUCGAUCUUGAACUACCAGCGGAUGAAUACGUUGAUACUGAUGAAGGCAAAGAGUCACUGGAUUGCAAAGGCUCUCAUGUAUCAAGUUAUGCUCACAACGGAAAUCUGAAAAGUGGACCUGAAACUCAGAAGUCAUCUCCUGUUGGGCAUAUUGGUGCAACAACUAAUUGUAGGAUAGAUGUCUCAGCUUCUGGUUCUUGUCUGAGGAACCCUAUUAGAUUGGCUGAUCUAAACGAACCCAUUGAUGUUGAAGAGGCAACUGCUCCUUCGUCAACUGAUUUCUUUGGUCAUAGCUCAAUCAAUCGACCUAGUAAUGGUGUAAAUCAGCAUGCUAUAUCAAACGCAGGUUUUUUAGGUGCAAAUGCCAAAACAGCACAUUACCGGGAUGGUUUUUUGACUAAUUCGUCUGUUGAGAGUAAAGUUAAUGAAAGGGGACCUCUCUCCCAUAUUUAUGAAGCAGGUACACACUUUGUGAAGAUUUAUGAUUUUCUUGAAAUCUUCCUUAUCCUAGUUGCCCAUUUCCCAUCUCUUUGAAUAUCUAUAAAAUCUGAUUAUCAGCCAAAAUUAAGCUAUUUCUGUCCAUUAACUAUUCUUAUCGUAUUAUUUGCAAAGCUUUUGAUUUGUCAAUCUUUCAGGGUCCAGCAAAAGUAACUUCAAUUCAGUAACUCCCAGUCUUCAGCAAGAGAAGUCUCAUCCAGUGCAAUGCAUGCUCAAUCCACACGAUCAUCCUCCUGGAAUUUAUCUGACUCGACAUAGUAGAGAAGAGUCUUGGAGGGAGGGAAACCACCAUCAUCUCGAAUCUUCUGAUAGAAAUCGCGAUCACUCCAAUAAUAGAUUCAUGGGGCCCCAUAUGGCUUCUCACGCCCCUGGUUCAGACCCAUUCUUUAGUUUGUCUUAUUUUUCUGGUACCUGGGCCCAUGCCGUCUCAUCCUGGGCGAAGCCAGCUAAAAACUUUACUCAGAAGAUGACCGCCUUGGAUUCAUGUCUGAAUCCUGCUGCAGCAAUGGAUAGAGGACUGCAGAUUUCAGCAGAGUGCCGGGAAAACUUUGGAGGAAAGUGGCAUGCGGGUGAUGACUUCAGGCUGAACCCUGGUUUGGGAGGUGAAGUGUCGACACGGAAUGGGUUUUACCAAGGAUCUGCCUCAGGGUCAAAAGAAAUAAAAGUUCACUUGCCCUCGCCGGGCUUUGAUUACCUUAACUGUAGUAGGGGUGAAAAUGUAGCAUCUGACCGCAUGACUAAUCAUGGAUACGGGAAUUUUCCUAAAGGAUCCUCCUUUGCAGAUUCAAAGCCUGCAAUAGAUAUUAACUUGAAUGAGGUGGUUUCAAAGAGCUCGUCUAAUGAGGUAACAGUCCUGCAAGAUGUUGCUACAGUAGAUGAAAAAGGUAAGCCCGAGGGCCAACUAUCUUCAUUGCCCUGGCUUAAAAAUAAGCCGGCCCGUGCUAAUGAUGCUGCAAAUUCUAGAAGCUACGUCCGUGAUUCUUCCAAUCAAUUGUCUUGGAAGGCUGAAACAGUUACAGAUCUAAAUGAGCCAUUCACCCCUACAGUUAACAUGGAUUCGAGUGAGACGAAGACAGAGAUGAUUACCAGGAACCAGAAUGUUAAGAAAAUUCUGGGGUUUCCGAUUUUUGAAGCUGGUGAUCUGAAAAAUGAGCCCUUUUCCCAUGUUUCCACCUCGGCAAGUUUUAGUUGCCCUCGUGAUGGAAAUGGUGUUGUUAAGGAAAGGAAGAAUAGAGUAAUUGAUAUAAAUCUAGAGUGUGAACCAGAAGAAGAGGCUGUGGAGAAAGAAAAGCAAACAAAAUGUGGCGUUGUCAGAGACUUCAUCGACUUGAACUCGUGUAUAACUGACUGUGAAGAUGCUUUAGCACCUUCUUACGAGAGCAAGACUGCCAACAGUAAGGUGAUUCUCGACAUAGAUUUGGAAUCUCCUGUUCUUCCGGAGAAAGAGUCCAAUGAGGAUGCUGCAGGUGCUGUAGUAUCCUUACUGUCGGAGAAUAAAACUGAUUCAUCACAGGACGAGGUUCUUAGAACUGCAGCUGAAGCGAUCGUUGCCAUGUCAUCAUCCUGUCCGAAAAUCCAUCUAGAGGAGAGUGACAGCAUUGAUCUUCUGGAAGCUUCUUUGGCAGAAUCGUUCGUGUGGUUUGUCAAUGCUGUGUCCUCAUGUCCAGAUGAAAGUGCGUUCGCAGAUAAAGAUGGCUUGCCAAAGGAUUUAUCUGUGGAGAUGGACGAUUUUGAGGCAAUGACGUUGCAAAUUCCAGAGACGAAGGAGGAAGAUUACAUGCCAACACCCUUCGUACCUGAUGUCCUGAAGAAUGAAGACGCUGGGGGCAAUACAGUAACAAGGCCCCGAAGGGGUCAGUCGAGGAGAGGGAGGCAGCGGAGGGACUUCCAAAGGGAUAUCCUUCCCGGUCUGACAUCAUUGUCGCGCCAUGAGGUGACUGAGGAUAUCCAGACAUUUGGGGGUAUGAUGAGAGCCACAGGGCAUCACUGGGUUUCGGGGCUGGCUAGAAGAAACGGCACCAGAAAUGGGAGUGGUCGGGGCAGGAGACGAGCUGUGGUGGAGACGGUCCCUGCUGCCACUCCGACUCCACUGAUACAGCAACUCAACAGCAUUGAAGCUGGUUUGGAGGAUAGAAGCCUAACAGGGUGGGGGAAGACGCCGAGGCGCCCCAGAAGACAGAGAUGCCCUGCAGCAGGUAACCCUCCUGCUGUGGUGUUAACUUAAUAAUUGAGAGAAAGAAAAAAGAGAGUACAUUCCUUUAUUGAUCAUAGAGAAAACACAAGAGAUGAGGGAUCUUGUUUCAUCACUUUUAAGAGAGAGAGAGAGGGAGACUGUGUUGCGGUCUUGGUAAUUUGUCUUGUAAAUGUCAUUGCAUCUCAUCAUAAUUUGUCUUUUGUGUCUUUGAGUUACUCCAACUUGUAGAAAUAAUCUUGCUUGAUUUCAUCAUGGAUAUAUACACGGCUUUGUUUCGAAUACAAGUUUCUUCUUUUUUAUAGAAACCAACAGCCUUUGCUUUUUUGGACUCUCGCGCCAAACUGCAUGUUCCAAGAAUUGACCAUGUUGCAUUAUUAUGCAUGCUAUUGUUUGAGCUUAUUUGAAUAUUCUUAUUCACAUUUUUAAAGAAAAAUUAGACUUUGUGUUCGUGUUCUCAACCGAAGUGAAUUUGGUUUUAGUGAUAAAAUAAUCUAACUUAAUUAAAUAAUCAAAUGUUUGAUUUGUAUGAUGAAUAACUUGUUUGAUAUUCUAAUAAUUCAAUUGAAUGAUUACUUUAUUAUUUCUAAAAUUGAGUUAAUUAUUUAAUUAUUUUAUUAUUUUAUUUUAUUUUAUCAAUUUUAUUUUUCACAUUCAUCAAAUCAAACGUCUCUAAGUGAAUGCAAGUGACUGCUUUAUCCUCUUGUGCUGCACAAUAAUGCAUUGUUGAAAAUUGAACAGAAAAGCUUAAAAUAGCUCAAAACGAACAUGAAAUUGUCUUUAAUUCCAUUAUUUUCGGAGAUUACAAGCUUAAAAAAUUAAACAUGACUUAAAUAGCCAUUCGAAUCGCUAAUUUGAAGACCAUCUUUUAAGGUUGAAUUAUAGGCCGUUCAAGAAUUUGAAAAUUAAUAUUUCCUUCGUCAAUGAGAAAUAUUACUCCAUCCGUCCCAACAAAGUUGAGUCGUUUCAUUUUCUUUAUAGAAAUUAGGAAAUUUAAAGCUUUAAUUAAAAAAUUAAUUACUCUCUUAUUUUUCUUAAUUAGUAUCCAUUCUCAAUCUUAUUUCACAUUUUCAAUAUCUGCAAUCUUACACCAAAUCUUGCCUCAUUGGCCAUGGCUGCUGCCGCCAAGGAAGGAGGAGGCGGCGAUGGCGAUAUGGGGAGAGGCGGCGAACAGAAUCUAGCUCCGGAAGCAAUUUUGACGUGGGGGAUUUUCGGGGGAAGAGGGGCACGACGACGACAGAAUAACAGGCCGGAAAAAAGCGGCGCUAGGGUUUAUGUUGGGGGUGGGGUUCUGUGACGGGUUCCUGGUGUUUCAGAUCUGGACGAAGAACACGGCGGGGAGCAUUAGAUCCAGACGGCAACGCACAUGGAGGCAGAGGGAUUGGCACAAUUGAGGUGGAAGUGGAGAUCAGAGAGGGAAGAUUUUGGAUUUGUUGAUUUUGUUUAUUGUUUUUCUCGAUUUUUUCUAAAAUUUGGGGUUUUGAAUGAGUUGAAGAAAUGACAGCAAUUGCUUGACAAGGGCGAUGACGGCGGCGGUUGUGGGGAAGAAAGACAUACGGUGGCGCUAGGGAUUUGGGGGUGGGGAAGGAAGAUGGGUUGGGGGUGUUUUUGAAUUAAAAAAAAAAAAAAUCAAAUUCAAUAAUUUAAAUUUUAUACUUAAAAAUAAUUCAAAAUCACUAAUUAUAUAAAUAACUAGGGAUGUCAAUCCAGCCCAAAACUCGUGGGCUGGUCCGAUUAGCUCAGCAAUCCAAGAGGGUUAGGGUUGAAAAUUUUCAACUCGAUAAAAAUUACAGUCCAAAUAGCCCGUAGCUGAAUUUUCUGAAACCCGGUAGGGUUGGCCCGAAAUAACCCGAAACCCUAUAGGGCUGGCCCAAAAAUAACGUGUUUGCUUGAUUAUAUGAAAAUUUUCUUGUUAUUUGAUUUUCAACUUCAUUAUUUUGCUUAUGAAAAUUAGUAUAGGUUUGAUGUUUUCUUCAAAAGUUUGUCAAAUGUAUUUUGAUUCAAUAUUAGAAAUUUAAUACUCCCUCCGUUCCACCUAUCUUAAGACACUUUCUUUUUUGGGCGCCUCACCUAUUUUGAGACAUUUUCUUAUUUGGCAAAAAAUUUAGGGUAAAUAUCAGUUUUUGGUCCAUCGUUUGGGCGUUUUCUCAAAUAUAUCACACCCUAAGCAUAAUUACAAAAUAAUACCCAUCGUUUCAUUUUUUUCUCGUUUAUGGCCCACAAAAAUAUUCUGGCCAUCGGUAAAUGACGUGUUCCAGCCAAGUGCCAUGUCAGCAGUACACUUGAAAUUAAAAAAAUAAUAAUAAUAAGAAACACGUCAUCAAUUAAAUCUUAACUUCUUUAUUCAAUCUUUCAACAAUAAAUCGUGAAGAGAGACUUCACUUGGGUCCAAUCCAUCACCCUUCUCUUUGGCGAUCACCGCCUCUUCAUCGUCGCCCAAAAAACCGAUGCAUGGGACGACGCCGUCGACCGCUUCUCCCUCUCCAUCGACAAAAGAGACAGCGACACAAACAACAUCGCCAUCCAAGUCGAGGGGUUCUUCAAGAUCUCAGCUAAGGUUGUCCCCAUCACUCACUACGGAUCAAGAAUCCACAACUACAGAAUCACAGAAGACGACUGCUUUGCUCAUCGCGACCUGGGGUUCAAAUUCUCGUCGUUGGACGCCAACGUGAACGGAGUGCUGGGGCAGACAUACAGAGAGAAUUACGUGAGCAGAGUGAAGAUGGGAGUGGUGAUGAUGGUGCUCGGAGGGGAGAGACAGUUCGCCGUCUCCAACAUCUUCGCCACCGAGCAGAUUGUAGGAAUGGAACUAGAUUACCAUAUUUAGAUAUCUUUCGGUUGUCCUAUAUUACUUCAAAGUUGUCAGCAAACAAAAAUUCAAGACUAUGUUUAAUAAUUUUCUUGAAGGAAAACUUGAAAGUAGUAAAAGUUAAGUUGUUGUAUCAAUUGUAUAACCAGUCAAGUGAAAUAUGUAGUUCUGAUUUCUCUAGUUUUCUCCAUGAUGUAUAUUAUUCAGGGUUUUAAAUAGUAUACUAAAAUAAGCGUGAAUUUGUACUAAAUAGAAGGAAAGUUAAAGACAUUCUGCCAUUUUAAUGUUGUAAUGUUGUCCGGUGAAGAAUUUUCGCGCCAUGGAAGGAAGGCGUUCUUUUGAAAAUUGAAGAUGAACGGUUAAUGCAUAUAGUGAUUUUUCUUAUAUUUAUUUUUCUUUAAUAUUUUAAUUCCAAGUGUACUGCUGACAUGACACUUGGUCGGAACACAUCAUUUACCGAUGGUCGAAAUAUUUUUGCGGGCUAUAAACGAGAAAAAAAUUAAUGAAACAAUGGGUAUUGUUUUGUAAUUAUGCUUAGGGUGAGAUAGAUUUGAGAAAACGCUCAAACGAUGCGCCAAAAAUUGAUAUUUACCUAAAAAUUUACCCUUUAUUCAUCUUUUCACUUUUUCACUUACAUACAAAACACUACUUUCUUAAUUUUCGUGCCCAAAAAAAUGUCUCAAGAUAGCUGGGACGGAGGGAGUAUUAGAAAGUUAAACUCAUCAUUUCACUUCUUUGUAUUUUUAAUCAAUACUUAACAUAAAAUAUUUAGAUGAAAAAAAUAUAAAAAUGAUAAUUAUUUAACAAAAAUGUUGCAUCUUUAUAUCUCUAAGAGUUGCAUAUUAGUCAUUAUGUAAGUUGAUGUUCAAAUAUUACUUAUUUACGCGUCGUAUUUGUUUAUUACAAUAUAAUAUUGUNAAAAAAAAAAAGCAAAAAUGAGAUGAUCUAUGCUGAAGUCGACCGACCGUGGUCUCCACCCCACCAAAUUGAGACCUGCGGUCUCUUCCACAUUUUAGAUAGGAUUUUGAUGAUGUGUUGCAAUUUUAUUGGUUGGUUGAUUUUAAUUUAGAUAUUAGCAUAAAAUUUUAAUAUCUAUUAUAUAUAUAUAUUAAAUUUAUAAUUUAAUUUCUCUAUAAUAGACCUCAUUGUUUAUAGUUAUACAUACCAAAAUUUUCUACUUUUUGCAAUGGAUCCUAGAAAUUUUUUUGAGGAUUCUCAAAAUUUCUCAAACUCGCAAGAUUAUUAUCCUAAUCUUGAUAAUAUUGAUAGCCAAGUUUUUGGAUCUGGUUCAAACCCUCAAUUUCCAUAUGAUCUCACUCGUGAAAAUUCCACUCCAGAAAAUAUCCACCCCACAAACACAAACACCUCCAGCGGUCCGAAAGGUUGGAAUGAUCAAGAAGAUUUGGCGCUCAUGUAUGCUUGGUGUACUUGUAGCUCGGAUCCAAUUGUUGGCACUAAUCAAAAUAAGGCCACUUCGGUGGGGAGUACCUCAGAAGGCCAACCGAAGAAGAUCUUGCUUGUCUACUGUAUGUUGGUGCUCAACGCGGUUUUCCCGGUAUGCUUGGUAGUAUUGAUUGCAUGCAUUGGGAAUGGAAAAAUUGCCCUACUGCAUGGGCUGGGCAAUAUACAGGAAGAAGCGGUAAGACAACAAUCAUCUUGGAAGCAGUCGCAUCUCAAGACCUAUGGAUCUGGCACGCAUUUUUUGGAACUCCAGGUUCGAGAAAUGAUAUCAAUGUGCUUCACCAAUCGCCUGUUUUCAAAGAUAUAUUGGAAGGUCGAGCACCAAAGGUUAGUUAUGUGGUAAAUGGCCAUGAAAAAGAUAUGAGAUAUUAUCUCACUGAUGGUAUAUAUCCUUCAUGGGCAGCAUUUGUCAAAUCUGUUAAUGGUCCACAAACUCGAAAACAUCAACUGUUUGCUCAACAUCAAGAGGCUGCUCGAAAAGAUGUUGAGCGAGCAUUUGGAGUUUUACAAGCUUGUUUCAAUUUUAUCAAACGACCAUGUCUCAUGUGGGAUCGUGAUAUGAUGGGAAAAGUAAUGCUUGCUUGCAUUAUUAUGCACAAUAUGAUAGUGGAAGACGAGCGGCAUACUUACCUAAAUUACUGUGAUCCAACAGAAUUUAUGGAAGUUAGAAGGUUUAAUAGCCAAAGUGAAGAUGUUGAAGCUAAUGAUGAUCCUAAUUUUGAAUUUUCCACGGAACGGAUUGCAAGUCUAGCAAGCUAUAUGAGGAAUAGGACACAACUUCGUAACAGGGAAGCUCACAAUGCUCUAAAAAAUGACUUGAUCGAACACAUUUGGCAAAAGUUUGGCGAUGAUAAUUAAAUGCUUAGUAUGUAUUUUUUUUUCUAUUUCGAAUUUGCAUUGUUGUAGUUUAUAUUUAUAGUUUGUCGUAAUUUAAAUUUGUAUUAGUUUGUUUUUUUUUCCGUUUAAUUUUUUUGUAAUAUUUUAAUUUAUAUUUAAUAUAAUUAAAAUUAUUACGAUUAAAAAUAAUAAUAAAAUAAUUAUAUAUAAUGUUGUGGUUGGGUGGUUGGAGUGGUCAUUGAUAAAUCAACAAAAAUAGAGGUGGUUGGGUUGGAAUAAAUAUAGUGAUGUGGAAGAGAGAGAAAUUAAUUAAAUAUUGAAGAUGGUUGGAUGGUUGGGUGGUUGGAUGGUUGCUGAUAAACAUAGCCUAAGAGUUGCAUAUUAGUCAUUAUGUAAGUUGAUGUUCAAAUAUUACUUAUUUACGCGCGUAUUUGUUUAUUACAAAUAUAAUAUUGUCAAGAGAAAUAUUUUAUUUAAUUUUUUUAAAAUGAACUUUUGAGUCUGACUAGGCCGAUGGGGUAGCCCGAAACCCGAACAUCUAAGGUUAGGGUUAGAAAUUUUCAACCCGAUCAGCCCGCACCCGAAUAACUUGAUAACCCGAUAGGGCUAGCCCGAAAUCUGGUGGGUUGGCCCGAUUGACAUCCCUAUGAAUAACUACUUAACCACAGAUUUACAAACGUACUUAAAUAAUUAAACAAUAGCUCCUUAAUUCCUGUGUAAAAAAAAAAACACCUCAACUUCGGCGGGACGAAGGGAGUAUAUUUUCGUCAUUUUGGGACAUCCAUAAAAAUUAACCCAUUUCCAUUUUUGAAAACUUUCGAUCACAUGUGAUGAUGAUGUUUGGCUGUAUUAGAAUCAGAUCUGAUUGAUGGCAGACACAAGGACAAAUAAGAGAAAUGAAGGUUCAUUCUUGAUCAAAGCGCACAUAUCAAAUUCCAUGGGCAAGAAGAUGACAGAAGGAGACGCAAAUAUGAUUGGCUGCUGAACGAAGAAGCGGAUCGAAAAAUAGGAUAAUUCAGUUAUAAAGUAGUUCACACUGAUCUGACAAAUCAUGCACUAAGCGACAAAGCAAGUUUAAUUACGAGGACUACGAGAGAAAACUAUAUUUUCAUAUCAUAUUGGGGGGGAGCAGUCUGCGAAUGGAGAAGUGGAGAGGGAGAGAAGGACGGUGACAUGUUAGAAUUUCAGGAUUUAAUUUUUUUAGUUUAUGUUUUAUUCUUAGUUAAAUAUAAUACUUUCUACGUCCUAUAAGAGCGUGCAUGAUUGUUGGUGGCACGAGUUUUCAUAAAUGUUAGGUGAGUGUGUUAUUAGUGGAAGAAGAGACUCAUUUUUAUUAGUGAAAUAAAUGUCCAAAAAAUGAAAGUGCACACUCUUGGGGGACGUCCCAAAAUGGCAAACAGUGCACACUCUUAUGGAAUAGAGGGAGUAUAUUUUUAACUCGUAACGAAACGAUUCAUCUAAUAAAUUGAUACGCCAGUUUCUAUUUUGCCUCGUACGUGCUACAUUAGUUUUGAUUUCGUCAGAGACCUUUAUUGUAGGACAAUUGCGAACAAAUUACAAAUUAAUGUAUUUAUUGGUUAAAUUAAAAAAAAUUGUGUAUUUUUGGACCAUUACCCCCCUCCCCUUUUUUUAACCAGGAGAACAACUUUAUAUAUCCUCAAGCGCAACUGACAAGAUGGCGGGAGAUGAAACAAAUGCAAAAGUAAAACCAGGAAAACUAACAUAAACUCAAGCGCAACCGCCGUGAGAUUAUGUUCAUUGCUACCCAGAAAAAUAGCUUUGGUCCCACUUCCAAAAUCCCACUUCAAAUUCGCAUCAUUUACUUGUUCAGCAUCCCACAAUCAAGAAAUUGAGUCGCUUCUUUCAAUCUCAACAAACCCUUUCUACCGCCCGGUAAACAGGUGCAAGACUCUCUCUUUGCUUCAACAAACUCACGCCCUUUCGAUUGUCAACGGAGAAUCGAUGGACCCUUUAUUGAAGAGAAAAUUAGUGAGUCUGUAUGGUUUAUUUGGGCAAGUGACGACUGCCCGCCAGGUGUUCGAUAGAAUUCCUGACCCGGAUAUUAUUUCAUGUAAAGUGAUGAUAAGAGGUAUUUUAUGAAUAAUUUGUACGGAGAGAUAAUUGAAUUCUACAAGCUUAUGCAAAGGAGAUUUUUUGUUUUUGAUAACAUUGUGUUCUCAAUUGUGUUGAAGACGUGUAGUGAGCUGAGGGAUUUCGGUGUAGGGAGGAAGCUACAUUGUUAUAUAGUUCAAAUAGGGAAAACCAGAUAGCUUUGUGUUGACUGGGCUUGUUGACAUAUAUGCAAAGUGUGGAGAAGUUGACUCUCCUCGUAGGGUUUUUUUAUAGGAUUUGGGACAGGAAUGUGGUAUGUUGGACAUCAAUGAUUGUAGGCUAUGUGCAGAAUAAUUGCUUAAGAGAAGGGCUACUACUGUUUAACCGAAUUGCUUGGUCGAAGGAAAUGAUUACACUUUAGGGAUUAUAGUGACAGCAUGUGCAAAACUAGGCACAUUGCACCAAGACAAGUGGGUGUAUGGAAAUGUGAUAAAAAAAUGGGAUCUUGGUAACUUCCUACUUAUUUACUUCUCUUCUUGAUAUGUAUGUCAAAUGUGGGGCAGUUGAGGAUGCUCGUAUGAUCUUUGAUGAGGUUCGUGUCAUUGACGUUUUUUCGUGGACACCAAUGAUCAUGGGAUAUGCUCAAAAUGGGGCUGCUGAGAAAGCCCUGCAUUUGUUCACUGACAAGAAAUGGGGAAAUUUUCGUCCAAAUUUAGUUACCUUAGCAAGCGUGCUCUCAGCUUGUGCGCAGUCGGGCAGUCUCAUGUUGGGUUCAUUUGUUCAUAGUUUAGGGAUUAAACUAGGGCAUGAUGAUUUUUAUGUCAUGAAUGCUCUAGUUAACAUGUAUGCAAAGUAUCGUAGGAUAAGGGAGGCCAUUCGUCUGUUUGAUUCUAUGGUAGAGAAGGACUUCGUCUCUUGGAACUCAAUCAUUAGUGGUUAUCUUACAACGGGUACUUGUACGAAGCACUGAAGUUGUACAAUCAGAUGAGAUCAGACUGCUUUAGGCCUGAUCCAGAUACUAUGGUGGCAGUCCUAUACACUUCUGCUAGCCUUGGAGAUAUCCGGUUUGGCUCUUGCGUUCAUGCCUACUCUAUAUGAGAAGGCUUCUUGGCAUUCAACUGCAUCUAUGUUGGCACUGCGCUUCUAAAUCUGUACGCCAAAUAUGGGUGAUGUAGAGUCUUCUCGCGCUGUCUUUGAUGAGAUGCCUGAGAGGAACAUAUUCACGUGGAGCACCAUGAUUGACAGGUAUGGAAAACAGGGCAACUUGAGCAAGUGCCUCGAGCUUUUCAACGACAUGGUUAAGGAGAAUGUUGAUCCAACUAAUAUAAUAUUCACAACAGUAUUGUCUGUUUGCAGCCAUACUAGGAUGACCAUUGAGGGCUGGAGAUAUUUUGAUCUAAUGUGUCACGUAUACAACUUUAUCCCCUCCAUGAGACACUAUGUGUGCAUGGUGGAUUUAUUAGCCCGAUUUAGGAGCCUCGAGGAAGCUUGAAAGUUCAUUAAGGAAAUGUCGGUGCCCCCUGAUUGCACGAUUUUUGGAUCUCUUCUUCACGGAUGCAGCAUACAUUCUAGGUUCGAUCUUGGGGACUUGGCUGUGAGAAAGAUGGUGGAGCUUCAUCCAGAAGAGGUGGGGCAUUAUACGCUUAUGGCUAACAUAGACACUUCUAUAGGGAUAUGGGAUCAGGCGAAUCAAUAUAGAGCUAUGAUGAAGAGAAGAGGGUUGAGGAAGGAGGUUGGAUUUGCUCGUAUAGGCUCAAAUGGCAACCUAAAAUAUCAGAAGGUGGCGUAGUUUGGUUGAAUUAUAGGGUUAAUAUAUCAAAAGAGAAUGAGUAUACAUACGAUUUUUGAAAUUUAGGGCAAACGAUAUGAUAAUUGGUUGCAGUUGAUCUGUUGUGCAAAUUGAAGGAGAAGCCUUGGCCUCAAGGCAGAAUGAUUUUUCUCUCUCUUUCUUUGCAAGAGGAGAUUAUAGAGUUUCCUUAUCUUCUUGGAAUAAUAUUUUUAUGCAGUGGAAAUCGUUCAACAACAGUUGAGAUGUUGAGGUGAUAUGAUGUUCAAUAACAAGAAUGAAGUAAACAAUUUUGUGUUGAUUCCUUUUGCUUGUGUGCCAAUCAGCUGUCACUCUCUCUCUCUCUGUGUUGAGGAAGUUGAGUUUCAUGAUCCACACCACAACUAAUUCAUAAAAAGGACAAAAAAUGCAGAUCAUCGAUUCAAAGCAAGAUUGUAUGCUGACUAAGUGGAACCUCAACAGAGACCGAGUGGUGGAAAAUCAUAUAAUCUGUAUUCAUUUAGAUAAUGAUUAAAUAGAGCUCUUGUACAUAUAUAUUACAACAAAAUCCCUUAACAUCAACACCCCUCACCAUGUUUCUUAGGAGGGUUGAGGUCCCAUUACAGCUGCAUCUUCGACUCUUAUGUAUCGGCUAAAGUUAGAGUUAGUUCAUGUUGGCACAAGUGCAGUAGAACGAGCCAUAACGGUGACCUAGGACAAGCCAAGUGCAGUGGCAUGACGUCAUGCAGGCGAAUGCGCCUUCUCUAGGUCUACGAGUAAGGAUCAACUUCAAUCAUGUUAUAACCGUGGACCUUUUUUCACAGCUGCAUUUCUCAUUUUUGCUUUCGCCAUAGAGCUCUCAUCCCAUUUACCCUCUUCUGCAUAUACAUUAGACAACAAUGUAUAAUACCCCGAAUCAUCUGAAUCCAUCUCCAAAACAUCUUGUUUAACGUUAUCCAGAAAAUCCAUCCGUUGAUGGAUCUUACACCCGUUCACUAAUGCACCCCAAAUGCUAGCAUCUGCAGGGAACAACAUCAAGCUAAUAACCUCGUACGCUCCACUAAGAUCACCACCUCGACUCAGCAGAUCAAUCGAAACCCCGUAAUGCUCAGAGUUGGGUGCGGUUCCAAAAUCCCUAACCAUUAAGUUGAAGUAAAACUUCCAUUUGUUCAACAUAUCCAGCAUGUUUGCAGGUUAAGAGAAUAUUCAUGAACGUAAUCUCGUUCGGUCUUAUUCCCAAUUCCACAAAUCGAAUCAUUAGCAUAGUUGUGUAUUCCAUAACCUUCGAUCAUGGAACUCCAAGAUGCAAUGGUUCGCUCGGUCAUGCUAUCAAAAGCUCUCCGAGCCAUACAGAGGUCUCCACCAUGAGUAUACAUGUUCACCAGAGUAGUAUCAACAUACAUAUGCUUAUCAACACCAAAUGUAAUCGGCUUAAGAUGAAUCUAUUUCCCCUUAUCAAUAUAACCAAGAUUCGAGCAAGCUUGAACCGCGCUAAAAAAGGUCACUUCAUCCAUGUCACUAAUGCUGGUUAAACGGUUCUAGUUAACCGGUUAAAACCAUAGUCUAACCAAAAAAACCAAUUAUCGGUUAACCGAAAAUCGGUUUUUAUCGGUUUGGUUUGAUUAUUAGUUAGUGUCUUUAUCGUUAACCGAUUAAUCGGUUUAAUUGGUCGGUUAACCAGUUUAUUUUUUAAAUUAAUUAAUAAGUAUAUAUUUUAAUAUUAUAAUUUAAAAAAUACUCCCUCCGUCCACGAAAUGAGUACCCAUUUGUGGACGGCACGGGUUUUAAGAAAUGUAUGAAGUGUAGUGUGAAUAAUUUAAGGGUCCCACUUUUUGAGUGUAUUAAUUAAAGAGAUGUGUAGGGUACACUUGCCAAAAAGGGAAAUGAGUACUCAUUUCGUGGACGGACGAAAAAGGAAAUAUGGGUACUCAUUUUGUGGACGGAUGGAGUACUUAAAAUUAAAAAUCAAAUCACAAAUUCACAAUUAAAGACUAGGGUUUUCUCUGUUUCUGCUGUCUGCGACUUCUGUUUCUGCCAUUCCGCUUAGCAGGUGCCUCUCCGACAUCACAGCCACCCCCACCGAUGCUGCGCCGCCGCAGCCGCAGCAGUCCCGUUCAGCCUCCCAACAGCCCAGGCCGCAAGGUUACAGCCGUCUCCGUUCAACCUCCCAGCAGCCGCAGGCUCGCAGCCGUUAGGGAUGUCAACCGGGCUAGCCCGCCGGGUUUCGGGCCAGCCCUAUCGGGUUUCGAGUUAAUCGGGUGCGGGCUAAUCGGGUUGGAGAUUUUGUCGGAUUAAAAAUUUUCAACCCUAACCCUAAACGUUCGGGUUUCGGGCUAGCCCAUCGGGCUAAUCGGCUUAAAGGCGUAAAAAUAAAAUAAUCAUUUGUAUUUUGUUAUUUUUAAUAAUCUAAUGUAUAAUGUAUAAAAUAUACAUAGAAAUUAAAGAUAUAAAUUAUAUAGUAAGCAUGAAAUGCAAAAAUAUAAGAUAUUUAAAAAGAAACAUCAAGAUUACAUAGCAAAAAUAAGUUUUUAACAAUAAAAUGUUUAACUUUGUUAAAGAAAAACAAUAAAAUAUCUAACAAUAGUUUGAACUCAUAGAAUCAAAGCAAUAUAGAAAAGUGAAAUAAUGAGACUUUAUAAUAUUUUAUCAUUUUUUAAUUUUUAUAUCUACAUAUUCUAUGUUAAAUAUUCGAGUUUCGGGCUAGCCCAUCGGGUUGGUCGGGCCGACCCUAUCGGGUGUCGGGCUAUUCAGUUACGGGCUAUCGGGUUGUAAUUUUUAUCGAGUUAAAAAUAUUCAACCCUAACCCUCUUGGGUGGCGGGUUAAUCGGGCCAGCCCAUCGGGUUUCGGGUUAGAUUGACAUCCCUAGCAGCCGUUUCCUAGCCGCCUUCCAACUCCAGCGGCCACACCAGCAGGUCCAGCACGGCUUCUACUUCAUGAAAGGUAGUUUUUUUUUAUUUUUUCGAAUGCCUCUUUCUGCCAUGUUAUCAGGAAUGUUUACUUCUACAUUGUUUGCAUCGUUGAAUUUGUUGAUUUGGUUAUAUUUUUCAAUAUGGUGUUGAUUCUGGUAUGCCUCUUUUUUUUUUUAUCACCGUAAACAACUUUUCCUGGUAAAGCUUGCAGUGACAACUCUGAACUAGAGUAGCUGCUUUAUUAUUGAUUUUGAUUUGGCAAGUUGCUAUUAACAUUUUUCUGAGAAUUGUGUGUUGCUGCAAUCAUGUUUUUGCAGUAAAUGGUUCAAAAUGGUGGGUAGUUCAGUUAGAUGAUAUAGCUCGUUCGUAGCCAUGUCAGUUUUCAUAUGUUAAGCUAUAUAUCUCAUUUUGAUAAUUCUUGAAUGAUUUAUUGAGCUCAUUUGCUGCCCUGUACACAUAUGAUAAUUGUGAGCGAAUUAAUAUUCUUAUUCAAACGUGACAAACUUUAGUCUUCAAUUUUUUAAAAAGACCAGAACCUCUGUUUUUUUUUCUUUUGUUUUUCUCAAUUAGCUGGAGAGAGUUGAAGAUGGAUCACAAUCUAUCACACAACAAGCUAGUAAUAGGCUUGGUUCGCUUGGAAUGGAAGACGAUGAUAUGUUUGUGAACUCGAAGAAGACGCACGUGAAGAAGUUGAAGAACCAAAGGCAAAAAAAACUCGGAAAUCUUCAGGGACAAGGUCCACUGUUUGGGAUGAUUAUAUUCAGAUUAUGGAUGGAGAAAGGGAUAAAAAGGUUAAGAAAGAGAAUGCAAACAGUGUGGCAAACUAAUAAGGGCUGAUCCAAAUAGAAACGGCACCACUGCUUUGAAGAACCAUACUACUUCGUGCUUGAAGAAGCAUCAAGCAACAAUUAGUCAAUCGGUUCUCAACUUACAACCCACUACUGAUGGAACAGGGUUGUUGACAAGUUGGAAAUUCGAUCAAAAUGUCGUUAGAAUGGCAUUGUGUCAGAUGAUCACCAUGGAUGAACUUCCAUUUAGAUUUGUCAAGCGUGAAGGGUUCAAGAUGUUUAUGGAGGCUGCAUGUCCUAUGUUCAAGAUCCCGGGCAGACAAACAGCACGAGCUGAUUGUAUGAGAUUGUUUUUGGAGCGGAAGGUGAUCUUGAAAUCUAUUUUCCAAGCUAAAGGCAUGGGACGAGUGUCAAUCACGACUGAUUGUUGGAUAGAGAUCAAUAACACAAAUUUUAUUUGUGUCACGGCACAUUGCAUUGACAAGGAAUGGAGAUUGCAUAAAAAGAUAAUAAGUUUUCGCAAGUGCACUAAUCACACAAGUGAUGAUCUUACUACUACAAUCAUAUCAUCCUUGGAGGAGUGGGGCUUGCAUAAGGUACUUUGUUGCACGAUGGACAAUGCAACGACAAAUGAUGUUGCAAUUAGGUACAUGAAGCCAGACUUUGAGAGGUGGGGGACAAGUGUUGUUGGUGGCAAAUAUUUGCAUAUGUGUUGUGUUGCUCACGUCCUAAACUUGAUUGUGAAUGAUGGAUUGGAUGAGAUUAGCAUGUCCGUGAGACGAGUAAGAGAAGCCGUCAAAUGGAUGAAGGCAUCACCAUCUAGAGUGGACAAGUUCAGAAGUUAUGCGGUGGCCUUGGAGAUUGAAUGCAGAAAGUCUUUGACUUUGGAUGUGCUGACGAGAUGGAACUCUACCUAUUUGAUGCUCGAGUCGGUUGUGCCAUAUAAAGAGGUCUUCGAUAUACAUAUGAAUGUAAAUCAUGAAUUUGUACAUGAUUUGAAUCAGAAGAAGUACAAAAACAUGACAAUUGAAGUUCCCGACAGCUUUGAUUGGGCUAAAGUGAAGAUGCUUUGUGAUUAUUUGGCCAGAUUUCAUGAUUUGACACUUCUCGUUUCAGGUACCAUAUACAUCCCAUUUAUUUUUCAAGGAAAUGUUCUUUAAUUUCAUGAUUUGACACUUCUCGUCUCAGGUACCACAUAUGUCUCAGCCCAUUUAUUUUUCAAGAAAAUGUGCUCUAUCUUUGAGUUCAUUACUCAGUUACAAAGGGAUGAAGAUGCUGAGAUUAGGGCCAUGGCCGAUGAGAUGAAGGCGAAGCUUGGAAAGUAUUGGUUGGAAACAGAUCAGGUGAACCCGAGAAUGAACAAGUUGUUUUACAUUGCUGCAUUGUUGAAUCUGAGACAGAAGAUCACACAUGUGAAAAAGUGCUUAAGAAAAGUUUAUGCUCCUCAGCGAGCGAUUGAAUUGUUGGGGGAGGUGCGCAACUCAUUGAAUGAGUUGUUUGAGUAUUACAAGAAACAACUUACUUCAGUUGAGGAAGCACUUGCCAAUGCACCUACUUCGGUUCAAAUUGAACCUCGAGUUAGUGGUGCUCGAGGCCAUGUUGAUGUUAUUUCUUAUGAUAGUGAAGAUGAAGAUUCAGGUGAUAUGUCAGCGAUUACUGUUUGCUUUGCUGAAAAGAAAUACAAGCACAAAGCUAUUGAGGGUGAUCAGUUUGAUAUCCUACAGUGGUGGUCCAAAAUUGGCCCGCGCUUCCCUAUUCUAUCUGAGAUGGUUAUCAAUACAUCAUCAUGGCUGUCCCUAUAUCGAGCGUUGUUUCUGAGGUUGCAUUUAGCACGGGGGGUCGUGUUUUAUCUCAAUUUAGAAGCUCAUUGACUGCUAAUAUGGUGGAGGCUUUGAUAUGCGCUGAGCUGAGGAUUGGCUCAAAUCUAGUUCAUCGGAUAAAUUUCUCCAAGAUGAAGAAGAUGUGCCUGAAACUGAGUUAGAGAAAGAGUUUGAAUCGGGUGAGUACUUUAAUGUCUUAUAAACUAUAAAAUUCAAAUCAUUACAAAUAUGCUAAUUAUUCUUCUUGUUUUAAUUUUAAAAAAAUUACAGUUUUGACACAACUUGGGAUGAGUAGUGGUGGAGGACAUGGAGUACGUGGAGGAACUAGUGGAGAUGUUCCUAGUCUACCUUGAAUCCGUUUCUUUGUUGUUGGUGUUAAACUUUAGACUUUUGUUACUUUAUGUUUUAUGUUAUGUUUGUUAGUGGAGAUUAGACUAAUUUCAUUAGACUUUUUUUAUGGAUUGAAAGUAAUUGACUUAUUAUUGUGGCUUUUGGUUGUAAUAUGUGUUAGUUUGUUUAAUUUUAUUGUCGUUAAUUGUUGCCUAGGUUGGGAAUUCAUUUAUUAGAGGUGUUCUUUUUUUUUUAAUAUAAAAAUACAAGUCUCUAUAAAAAAAAAAAAAAUUGUUCUAAAUAAUCACAAGUCAUUAGUUGGUGGAGUGGAUAAGACCUUACCUUUCUUUCAAAGGGUAAGAGUUUGAAUCCUAUUGCCAACAUUCUAAAAUUUUGAAUUUCUGAGCUGUCUCAAUUAAACCGGUUAAUCCGUUCAGAAUUUAUGUAUUAUUCAGUUAAUUCUGUUAACCGAACCGGUCCGGUUAAUUGGUUAACCGAAUUCUUAACUGGUUCGGUUACCUACAACACCUCAUUCUUAAGUGUUGCAAAAUAUCCUAAACGCGCGGACUUUAUAAAUCCACAUUUGGAAUACAUGUCAAUCAGAACAAACUCAUUUGGGAGGUAACUCUUGAUGAUAAGACAAUGAAUCUGACAUCCCAUUUCUGAGAGGUCGAUCAGUGGCCAAAGAAAACGAAUCUGCUGAUAUUCCUCGACUCUAACAUUCCUUGUCUUCCCCGACACAACCUGAUAUGAGAAUAUUCCAAGACACCAAAUGCUUAGUAUACAGAUCAAUAAGUUUGGUUGAUGGUAGAGCCGUCACGACUAGAUGUGUGCGAGUGAUCUUAUGUUGGUGCAGCCCUUCAAAAGGGGCAUGUACACUCUCAUUCUCGAUUAUACAUUCCCACUCCCACCAUAUAUAAUCACAUUGACUUCUUCUUUUUUGUUUAAUGAUUAGAUAUAAAGAAUUUGUUUGUGCAGCUCAAAGAAAAAAAUAUAUAAAUGUCAAUCGGGCCAGCUUAUUGAGUUUCCAGUUAGCUCUAUUUGAUUGUGGAUUAUUCGGGUUGAAUUUUAUCGGAUUAAAAAAUUUCAAUUCUAACCCUCUCGAGUUAUCGAUAUAUUAGGGUCAACCUACUGAAUUCAAGCUAAAUUGAUACCCCUCUUCUCAUUGCUUCUACAGUUUUAUUUUAAUUUUUAUAGAUAAUAAAGCAGUGGAACUUGAACUCAAAAAACUUUCCUUUUCACAUAACAGAUGUCCACCACUUAUUAUUUUCCAAGUUCUUUUCUAUCUUUUUGAGUUGAGGGACGAGGCACACCAAGCUUAUAAACAUACAAAUAAUACUACUGAAUUGCCAAGUUCGUUAAUACAAGGCUGGUGUCGUGAGAAACUUGUCUACAAUAUGAUCUUAUAUUAAGGGAAUCCAAUUCCAAGAUAUUGACAGCAGAGAAGCAACUCUCAACAUGACAAAUCAAGCAAUUUCCAAUUCAUGACGUGGUUGUGGGAUAUGAUCUUUCUAUCUUCUCUCACAAAAACGCUUCCCAUCUACGCGUCUUUCCCGUUGUCCUCGUCCAGUGGAUCGUAGGGGAGCUGAUGCCGAGGCUGGUUGUAUUUCUCGCGCAGCUGUUUAAUCGGGAUAAAAUCCCCGCCACCAUCCAUUCCAUAGAACAAGAAGGAAGCAUAAGGGUGUUCAAACCUAUCCUGGGCAGGCCCAAUCAUCAUCCUACUUGUUAACACAAGCACAACAGCUUAAGACAACCUUUGUAGUUUGAUAGAAAUAUGGUCUUACACUAACCGUGUCUUGUUGAUCUGGGGCCACUAAGUUCUCCUCGGCAACUGCAAGAGAAUCACGGUUACAAAUAAGUCAGGAAAAGUAGAGUGUAUGAAUGAAUGAAUACGAUGAUCGAGGAGCAAUGCAAACUCGAGCACAACAUUAGUCUAUAAAUUGACGAAGAAAAGAAAGGGAUCUAUGGUUAGAAGUGAAGUAUUGAUAGAACUAACAGAAUAACUCCCAUCUACUAAUAAUGCUUACCGUAUGCCACUAAGAGGUUGGGGUCUUCUUGCAUGUCAACCAACACCUGCAAAAAACAAGAGAGGUUAAAUGAUAAGGAGAGAUUCCCAAUUUUGUUCUCUGGGUAAGGCUAAAGCCACAAAUAUCAAUUGGAAAUUUUGAUAAGAAAUCAAGAAAAAGAAUGUCAAAGUUAUGAUCAUAUUAGCACACCACAGAGCAAGACCGGUUUCUCUCUGUCUCUCUCUCUCUCUCUCUUUGGUGGGUGGGUUGGGGGAUAACCUGAUAGAAGGGUUGAUCUGGACCACGAGUCAACUUGUCAAUAUUUGCGCCAUCAAUCCAUGACUUCGAUUCACAGCAUGCCGGAUCCAUUCCACAAACAACAGCCCGAUAUCCUAUAAUACCAAAAUAAACUUAUAAGAGAUGAUAUAAACUACAUUAUGCAGCCUCAGGAUCCAUGUGAGAUAUUGCUGAAACAGAGUCCGUCUCUGCCCUAACCGACUUUGCAGGAUGUGUCAUUAAUGACUGCUUUUCUAUGAAACAACUAACCUAUCAUAAAUACGUUUGACUAGUCACUAACAACCCACAUCUUGUGUUUUAAUCUUCACUUAAGUCUUGUUCGUGGAUGAUUUACGGCAGAGUAUAUAAAGAAUUUGGACUAUAACAAGCACAACUACUUAAAUGUUAUGUUUAAAACGACACAUAAAUAGUGCAUAAUGAGGUAACAAAUUACCAAAUACUUUAUGCUUUACUUUUUGGCCCAAGCGGAAAGCGUAUUUUGCACUUUCAUAUGCUUGGGCUUUCGCAGAUGCAGCCAAAGAAUUUGCUUCGAGUUUGGAAAUUUCAUCUCGCAACUCAGCAGCCCGAUUGUAAUUCUCAUUCUCAACUGCAUUCUGCAGGUCUGCACUGCAAGAAGAAUAGUGGCUUUUAAGUUCCCAUAUAAAUCGAUUAUCAGGAAACGGAUAAUGGAUGGAAAACCCGAGCCAGCUAUACCAGAAAAAAGCUCAGAGCCUUACCGAAGUCUUAAUAUACUUAUAGCCAUAUCUUGAGCUUCACUCUUGGACGAUGAUCCUCUUCUGCUUUCUCGGAGUUUGAUAACCUCUGAUUCAACCUUCAAAUAAAUCCAUUAUAUAAGCAUGAUGAGAUCUUCACAAUUACCUUGAGGCCAACAGCACUGCAGUCUAUGAUAGAUUUUCACAAUAAGUUCCAAAAGCAACGAUAUCAAGAGAAUAAAAUGAGACUAAGAUCCCAAACUCUUCUCAAAAUGAAAGAAAUACUUUACACAAUGAUCAGAACAUAGAAAAAUAAUCUACUAAUUCAAACCUCAGUCAACUGGUUUCUCAGUUGCUGGGCAACUUCAUACUGCUCCAAAUUCAAAGCAUACUGCAAAACAAUCACAGAGAUAAUAAGCCAACUAACUUAUGUUCAAGACACGUAACACUAGCCAACAAGAUUAUAGCAUCUCAAACCUGUACACGGGUGGCCAAAUCGAGCUCAAAGAAAAACAUCAGAAUAUCCUCAUUGGCUCUCUCACUGUGCUCACAGCUCGCAUCCAAUUCUGAUCCCUUAUCAUUUCCUCUAAAUAGCCAUCCAGCUUGAACCCUCAAACCACUACGUUGGGACACCUUACAUGGUCCAGCAAAGGAAGUCCCUCUCCCACCGUAAGCACAGAGACACAACCUUGGAGCCCCAAGAACUAAAUACGCCUCCCUAACUUGGCUGGCACUUCUCCUUGACCAAUCACUUGAUCCACACAAAACACUGCUUCUAGAAGUCACCAAAGGGUUUAUCGAAUUUUGCACCAUUUUUUUAGCAGAAUAACCCUCCCAAAGUGUUCACUGCUUUUGAGUAAUGGAGAAAGGCAAGGCCUCACAGCUCCUCAAUGUAUCAAACCAUCGUUUCCUAUUUUCCUGGAAACAACCUAAUUCAAGCCAUUAACCGGAAAAUGUCACUAAAUCAAGCAAAAGAGUUCACACAGAAGACAACAAGUACUGCAACACAACGAGCUUCUUUAUAUACUAAUCAUUCAGAAACCUUCUCAAACACAGAGAGGCCUACUAAAAAUUAUCUCAAUUGAAGGAUACAAAAUCUCAGCCGCGGAUCAAUUUCAACUGCCAUUAUGGCAUCUCAAUCAAGAAACACUGGAGCAUCAAUUACUCCAAGGAGCCCACUAACCCCAUCAAGUUUAUUAUUGAAAAUUCAUCAGCGACUCUAAAAAUAAGUUACUGUUCGCCCAAAAAAAUACAAUAAGACAUAUACGGGUAGAAUAGAGGAAAAAACCUACAACAUACAAUCACAGAUGAAAUUGCUUCCAGAAACCAUGCACAAGAAGACAUCAUUCAUGAAUUGCAACAACAUAACACAAAAUUUUAUAAAGAAAAAGAUUAAUUGGUAAUACGUUAUGGUCCUAUUUCAAGCGUUGGAACUGGCACCUCGAGUGUGUGAAGAAUGUGUUUUUUCUUCGGUAGUUUGCCCUGCGAUUCGUAUCUCUCAGCUCUUUCCCUGAGUCACACAGUUUACUGGCCUUCAUUGAUUAACGGGAAAAGAAAAGAAAAAGAAUAUCUCAAAUAGAAAAGCAUAAAUAAUUACUACUCUCUGCAUCUCACUUUGACUUGAUUUUGUUUUUUGUUAUAUUCAAUUUGAUCUUUUUUUUUUUNUGAAUAAUCAUUUUUCCUUAUAAUAAAUACGAGCACACAUAUUUAUACACUUUUACUUUAUAAUUUUAUUUUUUUUAGAUAAUUAUAUCGAAGAGAAUUAAGCCAGGGCAAAUUCUUGAGUGCGACAGGUUUGAAAGUUUGCAUUUUUUCACAAUAAUAUUUACUUUUAUUCAUAAUAACUUUUACUUUUAGUUAUUUAAACUCAUUAAUACUUAUAUUCUUAACUAUUUGGUCAAGUAAUCAUUGUCGUAACAAAAAGUAAUUAUUAUUACAAUGAAAUGUAAUAUUUAUAAAGUAUUACAUUUAUUCACGAUAAGUGUUACUUUUAUUCAUGAGAACUUGUAUUAUUGCAUAAGUAUAUAUUUGUACAAAUAAAUUUAUAUCUUGUGCUUAUUAAAAGUAACCGAUCGCAUACUAUGCGACCGGCCGCAUUGAAGACCAACCUUUAGGCCAAUUGAGCAAAUGAGACGGGAUGGAGAGAAUAAAAUUUCUCGCAGCACCAAGACCGAUCCUCAAAAUUGUUGAAUCCCCCUCCCCCUAAUCGGAGUUGGUUUUUUUGCAAUUUUGCUUUUAAAAAAGUUCUCCUCCAAGUAGGCUUUGCUAGUUUGUUGUUAGGACUGGGAAUCGGGUCGGGAUCGGGUACCCUACCCGAAAAAAUCUGGUACCCGGUCCCGAUUAAGACGGAAAAUCGAUACCCGAUCCCGAACCCGAAAAAAAAUCGGGUACCCGAGUCGGGUAUUCGGGUACCCUAAUUACCCGGUCAAAAUUACAUGUUUCAGGUCAAACUGUGUAAAAUCGGGUAUUUCGGGUAUUAGGGUACCCGGUUUUCCUUAAUCGGGUAUUAGGGUACCCUAAUACCCGAAAAUACCCGAUUUUUUUAAAAAAAAAUUCGAAAAUGUAACCACUAAUUUCAUGCCCAAUUGAAAUUGAAAUUGAAAUUGAAAUUAAGGAAUUAAAAUUUAAUUAAAUUGAAAUUGAAAUUAAGGAAUUAAAAUUUAAUUAAAUAAUUUAAAUACAUUUAAUUAAAAAAUCGGGUAUUUCGGGUAUACCCGAUACCCGAUCGGGUAUACCCGAUACCCGAUUUUUAACUACCCUAAAUACCCGAACCCGACCCCGACCCCUAAUUUUUCGGGUAUAGGGUACCCGAUACCUGAUUUUUUCGGGUCGGGUAUCGGGUACCCGAUUACCCGAUCCCGAAAUUCCCACCCCUAUUUGUUGUAAUGAGAUUUGAACAAUUGGACUUUUCUUUCGGUAUAGAGUGGGAGAAGAAACAUUUAUUUAUAGUCUUAAUUUUCUAAAAAAAAUAAAUUGUGAUCGAGUAUUUAAUAAACUAUUUUGUUACUUCCCCAUAAAGGAAUCAUGAACUCUAACGAGUUAUUCAACCCCACCCCCUCCCAACGAAAGAAAACGAGGACAGCGCACCGAUGGCCAACAACAAAAAAAAACGAAGCAAAACUGGUUUUCAGAGUAAUUACUCCAAAUAGUUAAUGGCCGAUAAAAAGUAAAUCGGACGGAUCUUCUAGUUGCCAUUAAAUAUGAGGUAAAUAAUUACAAAAGAAUAUAUAUCUUCAAAAUUUUAAAUACAACAACUUCAAAAAACAAAAAAAUUAAAUACAACAACAACAAAAAAAAGUAAGAGCGCUUACAGAAUAUGCAAACUUAUCGAGACACCAAUCUGCUCACCAAAAAAGAAAAAU
rnacentral:lncRNA from 1 species